rnacentral:rRNA from 1 species
CAGCGCCACGGUAAUACGUAGGUGGCAAGCGUUGUCCGGAAUUAUUGGGCGUAAAGGGCUCGCAGGCGGUUUCUUAAGUCUGAUGUGAAAGCCCCCGGCUCAACCGGGGAGGGUCAUUGGAAACUGGGAAACUUGAGUGCAGAAGAGGAGAGUGGAAUUCCACGCGUAGCGGUGAAAUGCGUAGAGAUGUGGAGGAACACCAGUGGCGAAGGCGACUCUCUGGUCUGCAACUGACGCUGAGGAGCGAAAGCGUGGGGAGCGAACAGGAUUAGAUACCCCUGUAGUCCCUGUCUCUUAUACC